GUGAGGAGUGAAGUCUGUGAGGUGGAUCUGAAAGGAGGCCUGAGGCCUAGUCCAGCAACCACACAUCUACUACCAGUUAACCCCACUACCCAGAGAAUUCCAUUUUGUUUAAAGUUUACUUACUGGGAAAACAUCAGGAGAACAACUCCUCAAUGAUUUCCAACCAUCAUUGAACAUCAAUGUUGACAAGACUUCAUGGAUCCCGUAUUUCUUCGUCUUUUAUUCAUCCUACAUCCUCUUCACUUGCUGAUAUUCCGGUUACUAUUUCCUGUUUGAUGUAACGUUGCAAAGAAGAAGGGAGAUGCCUGGGAAUCGGUCACCUUUAUCACCUGCCUUGCUGUCUGAUUGGCCAAUGAUACAGGACAUGAUACUAGGUUGCACCCUAGAUUGUUCAGCCAUAUACUCUUUAUAUGCCUCAAAAAAUUAUUUUUUCUUGUUAAUACAUACAGUUUAUAUUUGCUGCUGAAGUUCAGUAAAGAAGU